rnacentral:tRNA from 1 species
UAGCGGUGUUAGGGCACGAAGAAUUUUGAUUUCUUUGGAGAGGGUCGUUUCCUCCUAG